CCUACGGGAGGCUGCAGUGAGGAAUAUUGGUCAAUGGGCGCUAGCCUGAACCAGCCAAGUAGCGUGAAGGAUGACUGCCCUAUGGGUUGUAAACUUCUUUUAUAUGGGAAUAAAGUGCAGUAUGUAUACUGCUUUGCAUGUACCUUAUGAAUAAGGAUCGGCUAACUCCGUGCCAGCAGCCGCGGUAAUACGGGGGGUGCAAGCGUUGUCCGGAAUCAUUGGGCGUAAAGAGUUCGUAGGUGGCACGUUAAGUCUGGUGUUAAAGGCGGAAGCUCAACUUCCGUAGGGCACUGGAUACUGGCGAGCUUGAAUGCGGUAGAGGUAAAGGGAAUUCCUGGUGUAGCGGUGAAAUGCGUAGAUAUCAGGAGGAACAUCGGUGGCGUAAGCGCUUUACUGGGCCGUAAUUGACACUGAGGAACGAAAGCCGGGGUAGCAAAUGGGAUUAGAUACCCUUGUAGUC
rnacentral:rRNA from 1 species